rnacentral:rRNA from 1 species
UGGGGAAUAUUGGACAAUGGGCGAAAGCCUGAUCCAGCCAUGCCGCGUGUGUGAAGAAGGUCUUCGGAUUGUAAAGCACUUUAAGUUGGGAGGAAGGGCAGUAAGCGAAUACCUUGCUGUUUUGACGUUACCGACAGAAUAAGCACCGGCUAACUCUGUGCCAGCAGCCGCGGUAAUACAGAGGGUGCAAGCGUUAAUCGGAAUUACUGGGCGUAAAGCGCGCGUAGGUGGUUCGUUAAGUUGAAUGUGAAAGCCCCGGGCUCAACCUGGGAACUGCAUCCAAAACUGGCGAGCUAGAGUAGGGCAGAGGGUGGUGAAAUUUCCUGUGUAACGGAGAAAUGCGUAGAUAUAGGAAGGAACACCAGUGGCGAAGGCGACCACCUGGGCUCAUACUGACACUGAGGUGCGAAAGCGUGGGGAGCAAACAGG